rnacentral:misc_RNA from 1 species
AAGACUAUAGACCUGCGGAGUACCUGCGGAAGGAUCAUCGCUGGAUCUCGGAUCUAUUAUGCGUGUGAACUGUAUGUGUGGGGGAGGGUUGGCAGGGGGAGAGUGGGGCGCCGCGGGGCACCCGCAAGGGUGCUGUGUGUGUGGGGCACUGCGGGGCACCCGCAAGUGGGUCACUCCAUGCGCAGCCACGCCUGCCACCCGCUCCGGCAUUUGUGCAAAUCACUAGAUUUCAGACCACUC